CCUACGGGGGGCAGCAGUGGGGAAUAUUGGGCAAUGGAGGAAACUCUGACCCAGCAACGCCGCGUGAAUGAUGAAGGUCUUCGGAUUGUAAAGUUCUUUUCUACGGGAAGAAGAAAGUGACGGUACCUUAGGAAUAAGCCUCGGCUAACUACGUGCCAGCAGCCGCGGGAAUACGUAGGCGGCAAGCGUUAUCCGGAAUGACUGGGCGUAAAGGGUGCGUAGGUGGGUUGACAAGUUGGUAGCGUAACUCCGGGGCUCAACCUCGGCACUACUACCAAAACUGUCGGACUUGAGUGCAGGGGGGGCAAAUGGAAUGCGUAGUGUAGCGGUGGAAUGCGUAGAUAUUAGGAGGAACACCAGUGGCGAAGGCGAUUUGCUGGGCUGUAACUGACACUGAGGCACGAAAGCGUGGGGAGCAAACAGGAUUAGAUACCCGGGUAGUC
rnacentral:rRNA from 1 species